rnacentral:lncRNA from 1 species
AUGGGGGACUUUUGGGAUAGCAUUCUAAAUGUAAUUGAGGAAAAUACGUAAUAAUAAAAAUAUUUUUAAAAAAGAAUUUCUAAAAUCUAACUCUGAAUUUUAUCUAAUCCUUUGAAUUCUGUUUGUCCCCUUACUACUUAUUAAGUUUUAUGCCAGAUAUGCCAAAAUUAAAUGCAUACUUUAGCCAUUAAAAAAAAAAGAAGAAAUGAGAACAAGGCAAGAGUAACACUUGUGAUCCUACUUUCUCUAAAGGCUUGUAUUGAAAGCACUCCACCAAUGCUAUAAGACAAAAAAAAAAAAAAAAUAGGCACGGAUAUUAAAAAUUAGAAAAUGGACUUUUCUAUACAUACCUAAAUAUACUAAGGUUUAAUUUAUGAAUUAAGGACAUUAUUAGUAUAACAAUGGAUACUAAUAAAAAUCUAACAAUUGUAUAUAAUAUAUUCUAACAAAAGGAUCAUUAAUGUGGUCUCUUACAAACUAUCUUUUGUAAAUUUAUUAUUAUUAUUGUGUAUAUGAGAGAGAUGUGGAGGAUGGAAGGGCAUGUGCAAGCACACGUGUGGAGGUCAGAAGAAAACAGAAUCAGUUCUGUCCUUUGUCCUCUACAUGGAUUUUAGGAAUUGGACUCAUGUCUCUAGGAUUAUACAGAAAAUACCUUUAUCUUCUGAGCCAUCUCACCUGCUCUCAGCAAACCUCUCCCUGCACUAUACGCACCCAUCUGGUGAAUGGAUAAUCCAAUGCCUGUGUAAAAAAAAAAAAAAAAAGAUGUGAAAUGAACAAUGAGAUGGAAACACUGUGAAACUGCCACAAGGGUAGACAAAUUCGUCACUGAAACAGAUCACAUUGUCCAGAGAGAUUUGCUCAGUGAGGAAAGAGCAUUGUUUUCAGCAUACAGCUCGGGAUCAACUAAAUACCUUUAUGGGAAAGAUGAACUUUGAUCCUCAACCUAUUUCACACAAAAUACUCAAAAACAGGUCCAGACUCAAGUACAAAAGAAAAAUUGAAAAACUUCUAAAUUACAGCACAGAAAAAAAAAAUCACUUGCAAUCCUGCAUUAGGCAAAGAUUGCUUGGGAAGACAGGCCUGCAAAAUGGAAAGAUUGGUAGUAUUUCAGCCAUCUCCUUCCUAAGUAAAAACCAAGGAAAAAUAAAUAGUGUCCUCACCAAAACUUCACAUAAUAAGCUAUCCUCUCACCAGCAUGUAUGCUGAGAUUAUCUUCUUUAUCUUGACUAUUGUGUAAAUGCUUCAAGGAAUAUGAGAGUGUUUGGAAGGCACUGAUCUUAUUUGCUUUGGAUACACACCCAAUGGAGAAUUGCCUGGGUCAGGUGGUACCUCUAUUUUAGGCUUUCAAGGACUUUUCAACCCAUUUUCUAUAUUGGUACUACUAGUUUAAAUUCCUUCCAACUGUACGCAAGAAUUUCCUGUUCUUCAUGUCUUCAUCAGACUUGGUAUCUUUUAAUAAUACUCAUUCUAGUAGAUGGGCGCCCAUACCUCGCUGUUAAUUGUAUUUCUAUUUCCAUGGUGAGUAAUAGUGGCAAGCACCUUUUUGUAGGCCUGUUGAGCAUCUAUACGCUGUGAUAUGUAGUGAUUCUUGUCCAUUGUAAGGUGCAUGAGAAUUCUGGGCUGAUCUUUACUGGCUCCUGUGACUUCUUGUCCCCCGCCCCCC